UGCCAGCAGCCGCGGUAACACGGGGGGCGCAAGCGUUAUUCGGAAUUAUUGGGCGUAAAGCGCGUGUAGGCGGUUCGUUAAGUCUGAUGUGAAAGCCCGGGGCUCAACCCCGGAAGUGCAUUGGAAACUGGCGAACUUGAGUACGGGAGAGGAAGGUGGAAUUCCUGGUGUAGAGGUGAAACUCGUAGAUAUCAGGAGGAACACCGAUGGCGAAGGCAUCUUUCUGGACCGAUACUGACGCUGAGACGCGAAAGCGUGGGGAGCAAACAGGAUUAGAUA
rnacentral:rRNA from 1 species